AAAGGCGCGCCAGCGCGGAGAGCGCACGAGAGCCAAAAUACUUCGCUCCAGAGACUUAGCGGCCGCCCCAGAUCUAGCCCAAAUCACCAUCUGCUCCAACCCUAGCCGCCGCCAACACGAGACGACGCCGAGCACCCACCACUGCCCGACCCCAGCCGCCCCUGACCACCCAUCGCAGCAGCUGUCCUCUCGGACCACCGCCGCCGCCGAGCACCCUCCUCCGUCGCCGUCAAGUACCCUCCUACACAGAUCUCGUCCGCGCUCCACCCAUCCCCAGCGCCGCCCAUCCCCAGCGCCGCCCAGAUGUCGCCUCUCCUUCCAUGCUUUCUCCCCGGGCAGCACUGUCUCUCCUAGGGUUUGCGCCACCGACCAUCCUAGUCGCCCCCCUCCCGUGCGUGCUCACCUCGACGUCAUGCUCUCCAGCCUAUCGUCCUUCGUCCGUGCUCCUCCGACCUCCCCCUUUUGUACUUCGAGCGUGAGGUAUGGUCCUGGUGCUUCCCGUUCUCUUGUAUUCUUUACUGUUCUUUCAAUUUUUCCAAUGAUUUGUAACACACAUGAGCACAUCUGCCAAAUCUUCUUCCUCUGCUUUGAGGAAAAUAGCAGAGCACUCUGAUGGAAGAACGUAUCUGGGACAGUCAGCCUCAGCCAGUGAAGACUAUAGCUCUAGGAAUAGUUGCCGCAUUGUUUUACUGGUAAAUACUUGUGACAAAGUGCUAUUUUCAGCUGUAAACAUUCAGCCUACACUAUGUACUGCAUGUUUUACUAAUAAUUGCUGCCUGGUAUCUUGUCUGACCUGAAACAUAUGGUCACUUUAGUAAUAGCAACAUCAAAGUAGAAAUUGGGUUGGGCAAGGAAUUCAUGAUUCUGGCCCAACUUUUGUUAGAUGUGUAAAUUGAAAAAUGUUUGUCAACUAUGAUUAUUUUGUUUCAAAUAAUAACACGUAAAAACCUUGUUUUGUUUGCAUGUUAUGGUUUAGGAGGUUGAACAGAAUAUUAAGACGCAUAAUAAGUACCUGUCUUAUUUGCUCAUGAAAAUGUUUGAUCUUAACAUAGGAGCAUGAUCUGACCCCAUGCGUAUGUUAGCAGUCUGGUUUUCAUGCCUUUUGUGAAUGCAAAGUGGCACUUGAUGCAUAGCUAGUGUCAAAAGACCUUCAUAAUUUGGACUGCUAAUUCUCGUGGAUUAUCUAUCUGUUUGUUUGAAACUGCUGUGCAUUGCCAACAUAUUUCUUCCAGCAAUUUUGCAGUUGGAUUCCUUUCUUUCCAAGUUUAAUUGUGUCAUUCUUGUAAUUUCUUUACCGUGCUAUGCAAAAUGAACCAUCUUUUGGUGGUGCUUGAGUCAUGGGCAUAGAUGCAUCUAACCAAAUAAUGCUUGCUUCUGGGAAGGCACCUAGUGUAGGUGGAGAACAUGUUCUAAGAAAGGUAUAGUACAUUUAAAUCUCGUUCUUUGCCAAAUCUUCUGAUACUGAAGUUGUCAAGGAUAUAUGCAUCUGGUCCAUACAUAACACUGUCACUGAUAACAGCGGCUCCAAAAAGAUUUUUCCGCUUCUACUAUGGGACCUUGCAUGUGGGAUGAUGAGGGCAAUCAAAGCAGGUAUGUGACACAGGGAUAGUUGAAAAGCGGCAACACCUGAUUUGAUUCUGAUAGUGUUUUCUGUUGAUCAACCCAGUCUACUGGGAGUCGUUUGCUAGGCUUUCUCCAAUCAAAAAGGCUGAGGAGGAGAAGUAGCUAAAUAGAAUUAGACUUUAUCUUGUGAAAAGGCUGAGGAGGAGAAGCAGCUAAGCAAUAGUUCGCUUUCCCUAGUUGAAAAGGUUGAGCUGAACUAGACUUUUCAAGCUUUAGUGCAUUGAGCUGGCAGCAGCAAGCUUCUAGGUAGCUAUCUCACAUUCACGUACAACUGCAAUAGGCAGUUUGUAAUCCCCUAUUAAAGGAGCCGUGCUCCUCCAUUGUAAAUCAGGGCCAUUUCAUUUCUAUCCAGCCAAGCCUCAAGUGUAGUACUACUAAAUAUACGUGUAUGUGUUUUGCUAGAAUGCUUAAGCAUAAAUAGUUAGUACUUCCUCCGUCCGGAAAUACUUGUCAUCAAAAUGGAUAAAAGGGGAUGUAUCUAGACAUAUUUUAGUUCUAGAUACAUCUCUUUUUAUCCAUUUUGAUGACAAGUAUUUUCGGACGGAGGGAGUAGCACACAACUGCUACUGUGUGAGUUCCUCUGUUCUUGUGUGUUGCCGCAGCAAGUGUGCAGCUGGCUGCUAUUUAGUCCUCUGCUAGAUUGUACAAGACAGAGAGCUAGUUACUCGCCAGUAGUUUUGGUCUAACAUUUUCUUUAGUUGGCAUCCUUCAAGGACCAUCCUUAUUAGUUACUUACAGCAAUUUUGUUGAUUAUGGAUUAUGGAUCAUCAUCAGACGGCCAUGCACAUGCAUAGAACCCACAUUUUUUUCUAGCUAGCUAGUUUCUACUCCCUUUGUCCCAUAAUGUAAGAUGUUUUUUGAUACUACACUAGUGUUAAAAAGAUGUCUUACAUUAUGGGACGGAGGGAGUAGUUGUUACUGUUUGCAGGCGUAAGAAAUGAGAACGGCACUGAAUAGCCAUGCUCAAGGCUUUUUACGUUACCAAAGAGGACGCCCCUCUACGGGGAAUCUCCAGCGGCGACAGUUAUACACUGACUGGAUUGUUGUUAUACACUGCCUGAAUAGCCUUGUUUUUAUGUUGCUACACACUGCCUGAACUGUUAAAGGCCUUGAUUGACUUUCAUUGAUUGCUAUAAUAAUGAAAAACUGUCCAGAAGCAGGACUAGUCUGUUUCUUUGAUUAUAAUAAUCAACAAUUGGUAAGUUUGUCUAGCUUAAUUGUUUCUGAAAUUUGCACAACACGUCAGGUAGAUAUAUGGUGGAAAGGUGAAGGGCACAUGUACACAUAUUUUGUUGUAUCAGUGGCUGGCUGUUCAAGCUCAUGUGAUUUAGUUUAAAAUACUGCUGUAAAUAUUGCAUCUGUGAUACGUCUCGUGAUUUUGCAAAUACUGUAUAAUAUUAUGGUUUUCACAAACUCUGGUAUUUUGUAGCUAGAGGUUUAGAAACUGUAGUUUUCGAAUACUACAAUUUUACAUAUACUACUAUGCACCCAAACAGAGCCUUUUAAAAACUGAGCAGGACUAUUGAUGUCUGGAUAGAAGUCCUUGCUGAAAAAUGCUUGGCCUGGAGCCUCCUUGCAAAGUGCCUGGACUAUGUUUAGUUGAUGUCCUGAAGAAAUGUCUAUUGACUUCUGCUAUUUGCAUUAGAACACUUGUCCUUAUGUGAUAUAAAGAUUGCAUUUUUAUUGUGCUGUCUUGUGCUUCCAUCACUAGUUGCAUGUUUAUGAUACAGCAGGUUUAUCGUUCUAUGAGAGCUCCAUUUUGAGUUUCCGGUCUGUUGCAGGUUUUCAAAGACACACAAGUUGAUGGAGGUUUGCAAGAUCUACAUACAAGCGGUUGACGGUUUGGAAGUUCUACAGCGGCUGAAGGUUUGGAGGACAUACAAUUAAGUUGGUGUAGUGAUAAUGUAGUGCACCUAGUUUGUUGAACCUGGAGACAUUGGCAAGUUCUGCUUAUUUUGGUGGUUGUUUUGGUACACAAGCCAUUGGAUGCUCAUUUUGGUUGUGUGGCACAUCUAGAAACAUACGUACUUUUUUGUGCCAGCACAAGUCCUUAUGUAUGGUUGUUUCCUAUAUGUAUGUAUCCAGAAACAUAUGUAUCUGGCAUGUUAUGUUUAUAUUGAAGGAAGUUUAAGGUUUUUAAUGAGGCCUAUGUGUAACUUCGAUUGAAGUGUAUGUCUAAGUUGUGAGAUCUACCUGAUUGCCAAAAUGGAUUCUUAAUUAG
rnacentral:lncRNA from 1 species